rnacentral:rRNA from 1 species
GACACGGCCCAGACUCCUACGGGAGGCAGCAGUGGGGAAUAUUGGACAAUGGGCGCAAGCCUGAUCCAGCAAUGCCGCGUGAGUGAUGAAGGCCUUCGGGUUGUAAAGCUCUUUCGCCUGCGAGGAUGAUGACGGUAGCAGGAGAAGAAGCCCCGGCUAACUUCGUGCCAGCAGCCGCGGUAAUACGAAGGGGGCGAGCGUUGUUCGGAUUUACUGGGCGUAAAGGGCGCGUAGGCGGCGAUGUAAGUCAGGCGUGAAAGCCCCGGGCUCAACCUGGGAAUUGCGCUUGGGACUACAUUGCUGGAGUUCGGGAGAGGAGCGUGGAAUUCCCAGUGUAGAGGUGAAAUUCGUAGAUAUUGGGAAGAACACCGGUGGCGAAGGCGGCGCUCUGGACCGAUACUGACGCUGAGGCGCGAAAGCGUGGGGAGCAAACAGGAUUAGAUACCCUGGUAGUCCACGCUGUAAACGAUGUGUGCUAGACGUUGGGGAGCCUAGCUCUUCGGUGUCGCCGCUAACGCUGUAAGCACACCGCCUGGGGAGUACGGCCGCAAGGUUA